rnacentral:lncRNA from 1 species
GUAUGGUCAGGCGGGAUCAUCUGCCAGCUGGAGGUCUCAGGACUGUGGAAAACCAUGUAUUCUAGCAGUAUAUUCUCUGGCCCAGCCGACCAUUACUAUCUUCAUAACGCUUAUGAAACUGUGCCUUCUCUAAGGCCAUUCACAGCUCUCGACUGGGCUAUCCUUCUUUGCCCUCUGUGCAUAAUUUCAUGCUUAUUUGAUCUCCCCAACCUCUGCACUGACCUGGCUUCUUGUGUUAUAUCCUAAACAACUUGUUCUUGGUUUCAUCCACUCAGUUCUCUGGAUCAGCCAGCUUCACACAGAAGUGACAGCACUUCUGAAAUCCCCUCUUAGUCACUUUUGUAACUUCAACCUCUGCUAAAGGUAGACACUCACUCUAUAGACCAGGCCUUGAGCUCAAAGAUCCACCUGCCUCUGCCCCCUGGCCCCCUCCACCUCCCCACGAGUGCUGGGACUAAAGGUGUGAACCACCACCACCACCACCACCACCACCCAGCUCCCUUGUUUUCUUAACAUUGAUCUAUUUAUAACUAGAGUGAGCAAAGCAGUGGUGGUGCACAACUUUAAUCCCACCACUCAGGAGGCAGAGGCAGGUGGAGCUCUGUGAUUUCGAGGCCAGCCUGGUCUACAAUAUGAGUUCCAGGACAGCCAGGGAUACACAGAGAAACCCUGCCUCAAAAAGAAAAUCAAAUAAACCCCCACAGAGUUACACCUUAUCCACUGCCCAAUGUCCUGCCAUUGGUUCCCAGACCAGAGCCUAGAGCCUGAAAUGGUCAUAUGCUCAGGCCCCAUUGCAAAGGACAGUGGGAAGGCACCUGCUUGUCUAACCUCUGGGGUGGCAAAGCUCGGGAGGGACUCCUCCUUAGGCAGCAGAGAUGCUCACUGGUGUGGGCUGUGCACACUCUGGUUUUCUUUCCUCUAAACUUGUGGGCCCCCAGGUUCAAGCUUUUAAUUUUCAGGUUUGCAUAUCUAUAAGUGCCUCCGUGUAUCUAUGUGGACCACAUGUAUGCCUGGUGCCUGUGGAAAUGAGAAGAAAGCAUUGAAUCCCCUCAAAAAGUGUUCUUAACCCCUUAGCCAUCUCUCCAGCCCCAGGUUCAAAUCCUGAGCACCGUCUGAACUAGUCCUGUGUCCAAGACAGUAUCAUCAAACCCUGCCCUUCCCGCCUUGUGCCAGCUCGCGCUUUUUCUUACAUCUGUAUGUUGAUGCUUAGCAGGUUCCUUGAAUGCUUGGUUUAUGUGCCUGGCUGGAGGAGACACCCAUGGCCUUGCAGAGGGAGCGUUCUGGUGGGAAAGCAGACACAACCCACCCUAGGCCCGUGGUUUCCCUGCAAGAAGCCCAGUGGCUUUCUGGAGGACACUUUUCCUGGAGGAAGUGACUCAAGCACAAGUUCUUGGUGGCCUCAAUUCACGGUCUCUUCCUGUUGAUCAGCAGUGGGCAGAGACCACCUCCCUCAUUGCCGCUUUGGGUUUGGACCGCUUUAAACAGUAAAGUGACUGUCGACGGCUCAGUCUACAGGGAGGAGAACAAAAGACAGGGUCAGGGCUGGGCAGACUGGACAGGAGCAGCAUAAGCCAGGCUCUAUGGAAUGUUGGGUGAGCUGCUUGAGGAACUCCAAGGCCUGUCCCACAGUCUUCCAGCCUCCGACUCUCCGGCCCUCAGCGAGGAAGUCCCACUGGUUUUUUUGGUUGGUUUUUUUUUUUUUUUUUAAGGUUUUUUGGUUUUUUUUUUUUUUUCUCAUUCCUGUCUUGGGAGCUUUCCCCAACCAGGAGAGUGAAGAUGGGCGGAGCUGUCACACCAACUGUUAGCCUGCCUUGGCUGAGAGGAGAGGAGGCGAGGAGGGAGCGACCACCCAGCUUUAGUCGUUUUAAAACAGCUCCUGACCCUAGAAGAAGGGAAAUGGAGAUGAAGACCCAAUUGACUUGAGAGAGUGAUCUUUCAGCAGACUGAUCGAACACACAGGCUUCUCAGCCCACUCCCUCCAGUCAAGGUUAAGGCCUGGCAAAGGUGGAGGAAGAGAAGCUGAGGAGAAAAAGGCGAGGAGAGCCUAGGCACAGGAAGGCUUCCCUCCCUCCCAGUGCUGAUUUCCUGUGGACCAGAUUCCAGCACAGUGGAGGGCCAGAGCUCAGGGAACAGACCCAGCAGCACAGCAAGUCUCCAAGGAAAGCUCUAGCAGUCUCCAGGGGCUGAAGGCAGGACUGGGGAAGCGGCUAGCCAGGCUGCAGAAGGCAAAUGCUCCCAGACGGCUGUCCAGCACGCAUCCGCCUUCCUAGCCAAGUUUCCUGGGCUCCUGCCACAGAUCUAAGCCUCAUCCUGACAUCCUGCCCUCUGUGCUCUGGGAUGGCCCAGGGGAGAUGCUUAGCCUUGGCUCCUUGUCUGCUGGUGGAGGGGACACACACCCUUUCUGGACCACAGACCAAAAAGAAGACCUGACGUCAUCCUGAGCACCCCCGCCAUGCAGAGUGUGUUCGCAGACUGCCAACGGGCUGGCUCCGGCCAGCAGAAGUGAACAGAGGUGGAGGUUCAGCCUGACAGCUUCUCCCCAAAGCCAUGGAGAGAAAACCUUACCACCCCCACCGCCCAGCUACUUCCAGCAAGUUGUCCAGCCUGACCCCUCUAUUUCCCCUGUUGUCUCUUAUCUGGGUCCCUGAGACCCACCCCAUCUCCAAUAAAGAACAUUGCAUACUGUGCAUCCACUACUGAACAACAUAGUCACACCAGGCAGGGCUCCCUAAAGCCUACCUGCAUGGCCAGCGUGGUCCGAGGACAGUGUGCUCUCCCCACCCUGUCUGCUAGCCUCCAGCUUCAUGGGAACUCCAUUAAUCAUGGGAUUCCGAGAUCAUCAGAGCAAUAGGAUCACUCCGUCUCCAGGGGAGCACAAGGCAAGAGCCAGAGCGGGACUGUUCUUCAGUCAAGGGGCAGGGGUUGCUGCCUCU